rnacentral:rRNA from 1 species
CCAAUAGCGUAUAUUAAAGUUGUUGCAGUUAAAAAGCUCGUAGUUGAAUUUCGGAAUCAAUGGAUCGGUCAUGCCAAUCGGUGUGUACUGGUUUGAUUGGUUCUCACCUUCUAAGGAACCGUGAUGUCAUUAAUUUGGUGUCGCGGGGAAUUAGGACUGUUACCUUGAAAAAAUUAGAGUGUUUAAAGCAAGCUCACGCUUGAAUACAUUAGCAUGGAAUAAUGAAAUAGGACAUUGUAUUCUAUUUUGUUGGUUUCUAGGAUCGAUGUAAUGAUUAAUAGGGAUAGUUGGGGGCAUUAGUAUUCAAAUGUCAGAGGUGAAAUUCUUGGAUUUAUUGAAGACUAACUACUGCGAAAGCAUUUGCCAAGGAUGUUUUCAUUAAUCAAGAACGAAAGUUAGGGGAUCGAAGACGAUCAGAUACCGUCGUAGUCUUAACCAUAAACUAUGCCGACUAGGGAUCGGAUGAUGUUAAUUUUAUAAUGACUCAUUCGGCACCUUACG